rnacentral:rRNA from 1 species
AUUGAACGCUGGCGGCAGGCCUAACACAUGCAAGUCGAGCGGAGCGGCGGACGGGUGAGUAAUGCCUAGGAAUCUGCCUGGUUGUGGGGGAUAACGUCCGGCAACGGGCGCUAAUACCGCAUACUUUCAGUUGAGCCUAGGUCGGAUUGGCUAGUUGGUGGGGUAAAGGCCUACCAAGGCGACGAUCCGUAACUGGUCUGAGUGGAGGAUCAGUCACACUGGAACUGGGACACGGUCCAGACUCCUACGGAGGGCAGAAGUGGGGAAUUUUGGACAAUGGGCGAAAGCCGGAUCCAGCCAUGCCGCGUGUGUGAAGAAGGUCUUCGGAUUGUAAAGCACUUUCAGCGGGGAGGCGUUACCGGCAGAAGAAGCACCGGCUAACUCCGUGCCAGCAGCCGCGGUAAUUC